rnacentral:sRNA from 1 species
CGACCACUCUUCCGCCGCGCAUCCAACUACGCUUGGAACUACCUAUAGUUUCAAUCUGCACCUGGUGUUCGUGACCGGCACGCACGUGCCAUAAGCCACGGAUCUACUAGCAACUGCAACCGAAGGGAUGGCAGUCUCAGAAGCUAAGGAGGCAGCGUGAGAGCUGGCGGAGCUGGCCGAUGUGAUCCCGCAACGAUGUCUGACAGGAGCGAAGAGCUGCUGGAAAGCGAAGCCGAAGAGUCCGAAGGCGCUUUAACAUUGAUGGCGCUGCCAGAUACUGUUGUCGAGGCAGGGUCACAGGUGAUGACAGCUACUGGCGCAGAGUCACUGGCGGAGACAGCGCCAUGGGGGAUCUCAAACGAUCGGCGUUGACCAGACAGAAGAGGAAAUUCAAGCCGAGCUGGGAGAAGGGUUACAAUGGUAUCACCAUUCUUCGGUCUGCUUUUGGCAUUUCUGCUUUCCUGAUAUGAUGAGUUUACCAAGUGAGGGCACCUUCAUUGGUCCUUUCAUUACAUGAUUGGACUCUGUAUUAUCCUAAAGCUCGUUCUGAGGGUUCCAGCUCAAAUUCCUUCCGAGCAAGUACUGCACCUGGUCGAUCGUUAGUUCCAUUACACACCCCGCCGUUGCUUUACCUCCUCCAUCUUUAGUAGCCCUGGUUUUGCCAUAAAUGGCCAAGCCGGACGCCGCUGCCGUGCUUUCAUUCAAAGCGGCCACCCGACGUUUGUCGACGUAACCCCUUUCUGUGGAAAGUAGAGAUGCGGAGGGAGUGCGGAUAGGGAUGCCAGCCUUGAAUGGUGUGUGCGUCGUCAGUCGGGAUGGUGAGCUGGUAAAGGAUGAUGCAAGAGGAAAUGGUGGCGGUGGAAUUGAGGAUGAACGAGCCUGGUUGCUGAGCAAGAACAAGCGGGGGAGGAGAGGAGAGUUGAGAAAAGGAUUAUAGUGGUCUUAGACAUGCUCGGCAUGGCCCUUAUGUCUCUUUAGAGUGUAUAGUUGAGAUCGAAUAGGUUGAUGCCCAGUCAAGGAGCGCUGAUAAAAGAACGCAAUAGAGUUUAUGAAACUGGCUUUUUAUUACUCC